rnacentral:rRNA from 1 species
GACGAACGCUGGCGGCGUGCUUAACACAUGCAAGUCGAACGGAAAGGCCCUGCUUUUGUGGGGUGCUCGAUUGGCGAACGGGUGAGUAACACGUGAGUAACCUGCCCUUGACUUUGGGAUAACUUCAGGAAACUGGGGCUAAUACCGGAUAGGAGCUCCUGCUGCACGGUGGGGGUUGGAAAGUUUCGGCGGUUGGGGAUGGACUCGCGGCUUAUCAGCUUGUUUGUGGGGUAGUGGCUUACCAAGGCUUUGACGGGUAGCCGGCCUGAGAGGGUGACCGGCCACAUUGGGACUGCGAUACGGCCCAGACUCCUACGGGAGGCAGCAGUGGGGAAUAUUGCACAAUGGGCGGAAGCCUGAUGCAGCAACGCCGCGUGCGGGAUGACGGCCUUCGGGUUGUAAACCGCUUUCGCCUGUGACGAAGCGUGAGUGACGGUAAUGGGUAAAGAAGCACCGGCUAACUACGUG